rnacentral:lncRNA from 1 species
ACAGCAACCGGUCCAGGCAUUGAGGUUAAAUGCAGCUCUUCACAGCUGGAGUGCUCCGCGAUUCCACCCCGGGGACGUUAGUGCUUGUAUACCGUCUGUUGCUUUGCUUGGGAUGAGGGACCCGAGAAGUCGUCCCACACAGCGAAGCGCCAGGUCCGGUUCCCAGGAGGACAGAGAGGGCUCCUUAAAAGCCUUCCCACCAAGGACUCCUUUGCAAGUCCUGGAGUGCUUUCCCAGGGGGAGCUCAGACCUGCCGCAAGCCACUCUGUUCUGACCUGCCUCUACCCGGUGCGGCUCACCCNGGGGCCGCCAAGCCUCCGUUCCCCUUCUCUUCCCCCCGUUCGGCCGCUGACCUGCACCGCGGGCAGCUGGAAGGCCGGGGUCCCACAGCGCAGAGAGGCCCGCUUUCUGCGCCGCGGCCUGAGCUCACCCACCUGAUGCUCCUUCACCACUUCGCUGAGGCAGGGGUACCGCUCCGAGAUCCAUCGGUAAAACUUGGGGACUCCCAUUUUGACCGUCGACACUAAUUCCAGUCGGUGCAGAAACGAAACCAAACGCCCCGCCCGGGCCUCCGCCGCCGCCUCCGGCCGUCGCUCGGAGGAUGACAACACAAGGUCCGCCAGACCAUAGAGCAAACCGUGGGCCUAGAGGGGCAGGACGACGCNGGUGGGCGGUGGGUCCUGUCUAUCCCGCUGCCUCGCUCUUCCAAACUCGUUGGUGACAGCGCAAGAGGUGUGAUCUGCGCAUUAGCUGAAUCUACAGACUUUUUCAUCUUCCUGUGAUAGCUGAUAGCAACCCAAAGAUGAUAGGUCACCGAAAUCGAAAUUACCUUCUAAUCUUCCUCCAGAAUUGUAAAAGGAGAAAAUUUUUGAUGUUCUUAAAGAUGGAUCCAUUAGCCUUAAUUUACUCUCAAGGACCCACUCUGGUACUAUUUGUUGUAGCUGUUAUUUAGUUGCUAGGACUUGAAAUCAGGACCUAGAACAUCCAGGGUAAGUACUCUACUACUGAACAGUCUACUCCUAGAUUGACUUUUGCUUUAACCUAGAUCAGACUUAAAUAUACUGUCAAAUUUAGAAAUGUUAAACAACUCCAAUUUCAUGGAAGUAAGUCUCUGUAAAAUGAACUGAUCUGCCCAUUUCACAUAGCUAGUAACUAACUCACGAUUCAAGUUCAUACCUUCCAUG